rnacentral:lncRNA from 1 species
CUGAGAAUAGAAAUAACCCCAUCUCCUUAAGGACUCUGAAGAGGGUCCUAAAGUGAAAGAUCCUAAAAUGAAGAAGAACACUCUGGCAUACUUCUAACUGGAAGGAAAUCAUUCUUAAAAUCAUAGCACCUACUAGUACCUUCAAGAAUGGCUACAGCUGGCUGAGUAUGGUGGCUCACGCCUGUAAUCCUAGCACUUUGGGAGGCCAAGGCUGAUGGAUCAUGAGGUCAGGAGGUCGAGACCAGCCUGAUCAACAUGGUGAAACCCCGUCUCUACUAAAAAUACAAAAAUUAGCUGGGUGGUGGCACGCACCUGUCAUCCCAGCUACUCAGGAGGCUGAGGCAGGAGAAUCUCUUGAACCUGGGAGGUGGAGGUUGCAGUGAGCUGAGACCUCACCAGUGCACUCCAGCCUGGACGACAGAGUGAGACUCCAUCUCAAAAAAAAAAAAAAGAAAGAAAAAAAGAAUGGCUACAGAUAACACCAUCCGAGCAGCCUGUGGCCUCUCCCCUACAAAGAUGAUUUUCAAUCCUUUGUUUAAAAACAUGCACAGGGCCAGGCGUGGUGACUCAUGACUGUAAUCCCAGCACUUUGGGAUGCCGAGGCCAGCGGAUCACAAGGUCAGGAGUUUGAGACCAGCCUGGCCAAAAUGGUGAAAUCCCGUCUCUAAUAAAAAUACAAAAAUUAGCCGGGCGUGGUGGCGCAUGCCUAAUCAUCCCAGCUACUCAGGAGGCUGAGGCAGGAGAAUUGCUUGAACCUGGGAGGAGGAGGUUGCAGGGAGCUGAGAUCGUACCACUGCACUCCAGCUUGGGUAACAGAGCAAGACUCCGUCUCGAAAAUAAAAAAAAAAGAAAAAUUAAAAAUUAAAAAAAACAUGCACAGGCCAGGCAUGGAGGCUCACGCCUAUAAUCCCAGCAUUUUGGGAGGCCAUGACAGGUGGAUUACUUGAGCCCAGGAGUUUGAGACCAGCCCAGGCAACAUAGUGAGACGACAUCUCUACAAAUAAUACAAAUAAUAAAAAUAAAAAACAUGCACAGCCCAGGCUGUGGCAAAGAAAAUAUGCACAAUACAAAAGCCCUUCCUGGGUCAUAUGUAGCCUACAGUAGGGACUCUAAAAGUACCUGCUGAAUUAAUGAUUGAUAACUGAAUGAACUCAUGUCUGACCUCUGUCAUUCUUGCAGAAAUGUACGGUAUCCUUGCUAGGCAUCUGACCUCGGUGGGCCACGGGGCAACUUUGACCCAUUGGCUCCACUGGUCUGCUUGUGGAUUAAUACCAAACUGGGCUAUGUGCUCAUUUACACACAAAGUGGAUGGGGAAAGUUUUCUAAUAGCAGCUUUACUUACCUCCACUCAGCCCAUCUGUGGAGUACACCCACAGGUUCUCCCUUCCCAGAAGAGAAAUAAAUGGAGAAGCUAAGAAGGGCAGGGCCAAGCUCUCUGGCUUUUUCUCCACACCACUUCUUUGCAGAGCUGGCAAGAAAAACGUUUGAGCUCAGUCUAAGAGGCUACCAGGGCCCUGGAUAAGGAUCUUAUACAAACGAGUAUGCCCUGGAUACGCAGCCAAUCCUUUCCCCUGAUGUGAGCCUGGUUCUCUGGGCCCCAGCAGCUUCAAGCCAUUUUGUUCCCAUUGGCUCUGCCAUUCUCCACCCUCAUUCCUAUAAACAAGAAUGAACCUUGAUUCAACUCUUGUCCAGUAAACUGCACAGGCUGCCUAGAGCAUAUCAGAUAAGAAGAGGUAAUAGCUGGGUGAGUUUGGAGCAAGAACUGCUUUACUUAACAUCACUAUCAGGGAAGGGCCAUUUAAAAUUCGAUGGGCAG